ACAUCGUAUACGAUUUUAAUAGAGCCUUAAACUCCAAGAUAACUAACCCUAUUAGAAUAUUUGCCUACCUCAAGUUAUAAAAGAAGGAGACCAUAUUCCUUCUAGCACAAAAGAAAUACGGAGUAGCAGUCGAGCGGAAAACGAACAAACCCAACAUAACCUAUUAUUUUUCGUGAAGGGCGAGUAUUCUCUGAAUUCCUCCUUUGUGUAUACAAUUCACGGUGGCUUUCUUUAUUUCAUCGCCCUAGCAUACCCUUUUCCUGAUAUCAACCGCAAGUAGAGGUUCUUCACAAAAUAUCAAUUGUUCGACUCGUAACCGCAGACCCUUCUUGAUAUCAACAGCAAGCAACCGGUAACUAUUUGCAGUAGACUAUCGUUCGACUCGCAACCGGUAACUAUAUUGUUUUUAAUCUCUCUACAUUAAAUAACAUCUAUAAAAUUUAUGUGAUGUCAUCCCUCACUCCUGUCCAGCAAGCUCGUCUUACACCCUUAUGUACUUGUAAGCGAUUGCUCUUGUUUAUUAGGUGAUAUAUGUAAUUAUUAAUAUAUAGAUAGCUAUGCACCUAUCUGUACAUGCAUACGCGAUUAAAUGGUUGCGUUUCAUCAAUAACAAAAGCACGCAGCUAUUCUCUCACCAUUCUUCUUUCUCCUCUAACCUCUCACCAUUUUCUCUCUCAUCAAAACCUCUCACCAUUUUCUCUCUCAUCAAAACCUCAAACUCUCUUUCCUCCAUUGAAGUCACUCUUUCUCUCUCCUCCCAAACAAUCCGACCUCCUUCCCUCCGCCUUUCACCGCCGCCUCCCUUCGAUCUAACAACCGCCACUUCCUCAACUGCGCGCAGCUACUCAAUCGUGUUAGAUCCACGCGACACUGCGCCAUAGAUAUUGUCGCUGAAGCCUUCUCCUCCCCUGCGACGUUGCCUCUGUGAUCUUGUGCCAUGGCGGUCGACAUUCUCCACCGCCGAACAUCGAUGCUCCGCUCUCUGGAAGUUUCUCUUUCACCGCCGACAUCGAAGUCUCUCUCGGCAUUGUCUGACUCAUGCUCAACUAAGAACCGUGAAUCCUUCCUUCUCUUAAUCUGGAAGGUAAAUGUUGAUAAGAAUGCGACAAUAAAAGAAAAAAAGUUGAUUUAGAAAUGGAAGAUAUGGUAUGAAGAGAUGUUGUAAGAAUUGAAGAAGAAUUGAAGGCAGAAGCAACAAGAAAAGAAUCUGGAAAUAAGGUCGCAGAUAGAAAGAGAAAAGAGACCGAUGUACAUAAAAAGUGAAGCCGAAAGGAAGGAAGCAGAAAAAUUAGAAGCAUAUAGAAAGAGAAAAUAGGAAAUAGAAGUAAAUAAAUGAAAUGUUCAUUUUUUAAACAUGAAUGUUCAUUAAAUUACUUUAAAUGUUCAUUUGUGUGUUUUUUAUGUGUGCUUCUUGUAUCUUACUCAAAUGUUCAGAUUUUUUUUUAGGAAAACAACUGUGAUAAAAAAGUUUUUAAAAAUAAAAAAUUCAAAAAAUAAAAAAAUAAAAAAAAGGAGGACACAGAAUAAUGGACUAAAAAAAGAAAGGAGAAAUCACACAAAACUGCUAAAACGGAAUAUUUGUAGCUCAUAUGCAUGCAGCCAAAAAUUUGGGGUGAUAUAUGUGUGAUAUUCGUAUGUCGCGCUUACGGAGGGAACUUCAAGUAAUUUAGUUUUUCCAGCAGCAUAAUAACCUGUAUGCUUUUGUUAAUUUGGUGAUACUUUGCCUUGUAACUGAUUUUCUUCAAUCAGAUUGCCCACUGUAAUAUAGGAUAUCAAAUCAGAACCUACAUAGUUUGCUUGAGGUUGAUGAAAAUCGCCAUUGUCAUGUACUCCAUACUUCGUAUUUUGUAUUUAUAUGGCCGCUGUCAGUUAGGCAUUUAAUCUAGAUUUUGGAAUUACACCAACAAAGUUGUGAUGCCAUAAACACUUCUUUGCUUUAUUGUUCCGUUAAUCUUGAU